GUUAUUCCAGAAUGUUUGUCAAAGGCAGGUUCCCUGAGCAAGCAAAGGUGGAAACUUGUCUCAGUGUUGGGUGGCCUUGUAACUGAGGGCUCUCAAAGGCACAGUAGUAAGAGGGUGUGAGGACUGAUUAGAGGUUAGACAAGGGCGAGCUGGUGGAAAGAGCUGAGUAAGGGCUUCAGGAAUGGAAAGGGAUACACACCAUUCACCCCAGCCACUUUCCUCCGAGAAAUUGAUCAGAACGGGAGCAAGCAGGCAGCCAUUUCGUUACUUACAUUCAAAUCCUAUUAAAGGAUAAGCGAGGGUCACUGUCACCUUCAGAGGAGACCACACUCCUUCCUGGACAGUCAGUGGGAGGAAGGUAAACUGAGGGACAGUUUCCUUGACACAGCUGCAUAGGACAAGAGGUUGGGAGCAGUGAGUAAGGGCAUCCUGGAGGAAGGGGACGUUGGCAGAAAGAACUGGCAUCGCUCACACUCAGCUCUCUUGAGAGUUCAGGAUUAAAAUUCAGGUAGAGGAAAGGGCAGGUAGUUGGGAAGUCAUUUAAACACAAGAAAGAAAAAGGUAGCCAGGAAAGAGAGAGAAGAGACCAAGGCAAGAAUAGGGAACCAUGAGCAAUGGUUGUCCCAGUGAGCUUUAAUUGGCAACUUGACACAGCCUCAAGUCUCCCUAGAAGGGAGUCUCAGGUGAGGGAUUUCCCAGAGUGGACUGGCCUGUGGCUUGUUGUGUGGGCUUGUCUUUUGUUAACUGUUCUAGGGGGUAAAAUGCUAAAGGUUAAAGGUUAAAGCCUGUAACAGCCACUGUGACUGGCAUGGUUCCCUGGGCAGGUGGUGUUGGGUUUCAGACUCACAAGGGGCUAAGGUGCAGAUUUCACAUACCAAAGCAGAGUACACAAUGAAUUUCUGGCUUCCAGGUUCCCGUAGACCCUUAGUCCCUAUCUGUUACAGGAUGUGGCUGGCAUACUUUACCCUUUGCCCUGAAUUUUGCAGGCUUCCUUUCCCCCAGGAGUUCUUUCCUAUAUAAUCCAUACAUUUUGAUCUCUUUUCUUUUCUUUGUUUUGUUUUGAGACAGGGUUUCUCUGGCUGUCCUGGAACUCACUUUUUAGACCAGGCUGGCCUCGAACUCAGAAAUCCACCUGCCUUUGCCUCCCAAGUGCUGGGAUUAAAGGCAUGCGCCACCAUGCCUGGCUUUGAUCUCUUUUCUAUCUCUUUUUCUCUCUCCCUGUGCAUGCAUGCUCUUCCUCUCUUGCCCCUCUCCUCUGCCUCUCUCCCUGUAGCAACUUCCCUGACCUCAUUCUUAGGGACCAGUGAACCCACUUGAGAGCUGCCCCCCUCAAUAAACCUGUCUUUAUAUACUUUAAUUUGGCUUGAAUUGACUCGUGUUAUUGGCAAAGAAUAACUUAUCAGGUGGUCCAGAACUGUGUAAGAAAGUUAGCUAAGCAUCAACCUGUGAGCCAGCAGGAAGCAUUCCUUCAUGAUUUCUGCUUC
rnacentral:lncRNA from 1 species